CAUGCGAAACUAGUAGAGGCAUGGCCUGCUAGACGUACCCAUCUCCAAGCUGACCACCGGUCUGUGCCUUCUGCCUGUGUUGGUGUCCCGACGAGCUGCGGUGUUGUCCCGUAAGCCGUGUUGUCCUGUAAGGCGCAGUGUGAGGUCCCGGUUCACAGUGCAGCACAGCUGGAGAGAUUGGAGUAUUUACUUUGUAUACAUUAUGUGGUAACCAGUUCACACGGGUGAGAACUUCGUGUUGGAAAAAAACAGUACUGGUUGUCCGACAGUAACUCCCAUUACAUUUGAUGAUGUUGACGUGGCGGAAGCAGGUCCAUCAAAAGAAGUCUGGAGCAGCAGAAGUUGGACUUCAGUAACACAACAGGCAAAAAAAAAAAUGGGGCAGCAAAGAAAGCAAGGUCUGAUGUCCAGGGCCAACCACAGCAGGCUACCCCGCCACGAAGAUUAUCGACAGUAUGUUCGGGCCCCACACUCCAAAUUUUGGACACACCUCCAAGACGUGAACCACACUCCCCUCAGCUUGAUUUCCUGGUAACAGCAUCCCUCCGCGACAUCGGCAAACAAGCAGCAGUUCUGGUACGACUACUCCAAAUAUCACGCCAAUGUCAUCACCACCAAGAUGCUCCACCAGAGCACGCCAACAUGACAGUGGUAAAUGCAAAGGGCAGGACAAGCAGCCAACCAAAAUCAAUUAACAUUGAAAACUCACAUUUUUAAUUUCAGAGAAGUAAAUAAAAAUACUUUGUAAGUGUAUGUUUGUUAAAAAAGAUAUAACACUUAGCUACUUGACAAUUUGAGCAACAUCAUUAAUUAGAAGUGGUACAAACAGCAACAGGAAAUUUGUAUGCACAUUUAUUCUGUACCAUUUUUGCAAUUUUUUGGAGGAGGGAAAUGUUUGUGAUACACAUAGAUGUAAGCAGGAAGUAACCAGACCACUUGAUUUUUUUCUAAUCAUUACUCUUUCUAGAUUCCAAUCAUUCUCAGAUCCUGCACACACAAUAAUUGGCAGCCAGGCAUAAUCAUCCAUGACCAAUGCAACUUACAAUGUGAAUUAAAACUGGUUUACAUUUCUUCUGUAGACGACUUUACAAGAAAAACACAAUAGAGUUGUGUAAAAGUGUCCUAAUAUGUUUGUGUACAUUUAUAAUUUUUCAUAACCAAAAUUAAUGACAUUAUUGUUGUGGCAUGUUUGUGUGUGUGUAAAAAAUGAGUAAUCAUAUUUAAAAACCUGAGGCACAACCCACAAAAUUAAAAAGAUUUUAACUUUUAACACUAAUGUGUGUAAUAAUGGAUAUAUGUUGAAAAAUGUGUAUUGACUUUUAAAAGUCCAAAUUUACUCCAGCAAACCUAAGGCAAUAAAUUAUU